GUUGCACUGGAACUUGUUUUGAAGUGUUUAUGAUGAAAUUUUAGAUUCUCAUCACAGAGAACUGAAGAUUUCAAAAGCGAGGUUCAGAGAACCCCAAGAUCACUUGGAACCUUCAAGAGGAAUUUCAGGAAAUUGUACCAAAUAUGAACCCUAAGGAUAUUGAGUUGUUUGUCACACUUUGACAUUGAUAGCUUUCCUGUGACUUCCAUCCUGCUGGCUGUUCAUACCUGUUUUGCUGCACCUCUUGAAGCUCAGCGCUGGGUCCGGAAGCAGCCUGGGCCAGGGGGAACUGCACUGGGGCAUCCACGGUCUCAUGUGCCCCUCUUGGCUGAUUACAGACAAGUCAUUUUUGCUUGCUGGACCUUUUCCUCAUCUCUUUGUUAGGGAUGAUAAUAUCACCAUUCUGCCUGCUUCACAAGAAACACUGCUCUGGCUGAGGCCAGAGACAAGAGUCUUGGUGACUGAUCCUCCCUUCACAAGGAGGCCCUGACCCUCCCAGCCUUAUCCUCUCUCAUCCUGGCUGUCUGAUCAGAAGUGAAGCUUCACUCUGUAGUGGAACCUCGAGCUGUGGUAUGUACAGGCAUCUGAAGCCCUCACUUUGUGGAAGAUGUGAGACAUCAAUUUUUACUCAAGUAUUGGGGGGGGGGAUAAUUUUUAUGUUAAAAUAAGUAUUGAUAGAUCAUGGAACAAAUUUAAGAUUCAUUCAUUUUUUUUCCAAAAAAUAUUUAUUGAAUGCCUACUGUGUGCCAGGCCUUGUCCUAAGCCCUGAGGAUUGAAAGGUAAAUAUACAGUACACAGUAAAAAAAAAAAAAAAAAAAAAAUCCCUGCCCUCAUGGGGCUCACACUCUAGUAGAAGGAAGUAGACCAAAAAAACCACAAAAAAACAAAAACCACCCCAUAAUAUUUCAGAUGCUGACAAGGUCUAUGGAGAAAAAUAGAGCAGGGAAGGGGACUUCAAAACGAUGUCCAAUUUGCAGAGGAUUGCUUCAGCCUUCACCAUCUGAUUCCUUGGGGCUCUUCCUUGCCUUGGCCACAGGUUGCCUGGGCAAGGGAUGGGGGUUGAGAGUUGGGGGAUGGUGGGGAUAAGCAGGAGAUGAACUGGCCUAAGAGAUGCAUCUUGAGCAUAUCGACCCAAGGAGAGUUGAUGUGGAGGGAAGGGAGGCACCCAGUGGUGCCUCAUGGCCCAGAACCCACAUCCUAUGGGACCCCAGUCAGGGCUCGAGCAGACUUCUGUCUCCAUAUUUCUACCUCACUCAGCAUGAUCCCCACUCGAGUUUCUCAGAAGCCCAGAUGGCUGCUUUGGGGAACUUCCUUCAGUUGCUCCCUCACUUUCACUCGUCAAACUUCAUCAGUAAUUCCCCAGGCUCCACCCCAAGCCCUUGCUCUUUUGGCCAAAGGCAGCCCUGCUCUGUCACCAUCCCACCUCCUAUGCCUACAGAGGUUUCCAGUGUGCAGAACACUCUCCUGGCCACACACGGUGGUGGUUUCUCAUGCCUCACUCUUACAGGGCAGAGAGAAGAAGGCAAAUCAGAGAAGUCGAGCUUGAUGAGCAGCGAGGUAUAGGAACG